AUUAGUGUUCUGGAAAAUAUGAACAUAAUUCAUUAUUAUUAUUAACCUGUGUAAUUACACCAUCAUAAAUAAGGACUGGCUGAAUUUUCCGUUCUCAUAAAUUUAAUUGUUCUCGUCUCUCUCUCUCUGCGUACAUCACGAAGCUGAGUGCGCUGUAUUUUUAAUAUUACGGCAUGGCAACGGGUUCCAUCCCGAAAUUAAAGAAUAAAACGGCGAAAAACGUUACAGUCAGGAGGCUAAUCGGUGAUCCCCGCUAAGCUGCGUUCAAUUGCACUUAACAGGCCUCCGCUUCGCACCGACGGGAUGCGCCGAGAACCUUUAAGUCGGCGGCUAAUUCUUGUUUUGAGUUCUCGCGCCCGAAACUUGCCGCAAUGCAACUUAAUUCCAGACAAUCUCCCGCCGAGAGGCCAAGUCAGAAUCAAGCGUGAGCCCAGACACGGAGCACGGCGAGUCCUUGGUACCCGUCCCAGUCCCCCUCUCCCCUUUGUGAGCAGGCGAGCCGUCCCACCCCCCGCCUCCGCAAGCGUGAGCCAAGGAGCGAGCGACCAUGCGACCAUGACCAGGACGAAUGGGAUGGGACUGAAAUAA
rnacentral:lncRNA from 1 species